rnacentral:rRNA from 1 species
AUAUCAAUAAGCGGAGGAAAAGAAACCAACAGGGAUUGCCUCAGUAACGGCGAGUGAAGCGGCAACAGCUCAAAUUUGAAAUCUGGCCUCGGCCCGAGUUGUAAUUUGUAGAGGAUGUUUCGGGCGUGGUCCGGUCUAAGUUCCUUGGAACAGGACGUCAUAGAGGGUGAGAAUCCCGUAUGUGACCGGGUGCCUAGGCCCAUGUGAAACUCCUUCGACGAGUCGAGUUGUUUGGGAAUGCAGCUCAAAAUGGGUGGUAAAUUUCAUCUAAAGCUAAAUAUUGGCCAGAGACCGAUAGCGCACAAGUAGAGUGAUCGAAAGAUGAAAAGCACUUUGGAAAGAGAGUUAAACAGUACGUGAAAUUGUUGAAAGGGAAGCGCUUGCAACCAGACUUGCGCGUGGUUGAUCAUCCGGUGUUCUCACCGGUGCACUCUGCCACGCUCAGGCCAGCAUCGGUUUUGGUGGUUGGAUAAAGGCCUUGGGAAUGUGGCUCCUCUCGGGGAGUGUUAUAGCCCUCGGUGCAAUGCAGCCUACCGGGACCGAGGACCGCGCUUCGGCUAGGAUGCUGGCGUAAUGGUUGCAAGCGACCCGUCUUGAAACACGGACCAAGGAGUCUAACAUCUAUGCGAGUGUUUGGGUGUCAAACCCAUACGCGUAAUGAAAGUGAACGGAGGUGAGAACCCUUAAGGGUGCAUCAUCGACCGAUCCUGAUGUCUUCGGAUGGAUUUGAGUAAGAGCAUAGCUGUUGGGACCCGAAAGAUGGUGAACUAUACUUGAAUAGGGUGAAGCCAGAGGAAACUCUGGUGGAGGCUCGCAGCGGUUCUGACGUGCAAAUCGAUCGUCAAAUUUGGGUAUAGGGGCGAAAGACUAAUCGAACCAUCUAGUAGCUGGUUCCU